rnacentral:rRNA from 1 species
GAUGAACGCUAGCUACAGGCUUAACACAUGCAAGUCGCGGGGCAGCAUGGAUGUCCUUUCGGGGACAUCUGAUGGCGACCGGCGUACGGGUGAGUAACGCGUAUCCAACCUGCCCUUUACAACGGGACAGCCCGUCGAAAGGCGGAUUAAUACCGUAUGUUGUCAUGUUGAUGCAUAUUUUCAUGACCAAAGGCUUCGGCCGGUAAAGGAUGGGGAUGCGUCUGAGUAGCUUGCCGGCGGGGUAACGGCCCACCGGGGCGACGAGCAGUAGGGGUUCUGAGAGGAAGGUCCCCCACAUUGGAACUGAGACACGGUCCAA